GAUGAACGCUGGCGGCGUGCCUAAUACAUGCAAGUCGAGCGAACGGACGAGAAGCUUGCUUCUCUGAUGUUAGCGGCGGACGGGUGAGUAACACGUGGAUAACCUACCUAUAAGACUGGGAUAACUUCGGGAAACCGGAGCUAAUACCGGAUGAUAUUUUGAACCGCAUGGUUCAAAAGUGAAAGACGGUCUUGCUGUCACUUAUAGAUGGAUCCGCGCUGCAUUAGCUAGUUGGUAAGGUAACGGCUUACCAAGGCAACGAUGCAUAGCCGACCUGAGAGGGUGAUCGGCCACACUGGAACUGAGACACGGUCCAGACUCCUACGGGAGGCAGCAGUAGGGAAUCUUCCGCAAUGGGCGAAAGCCUGACGGAGCAACGCCGCGUGAGUGAUGAAGGUCUUCGGAUCGUAAAACUCUGUUAUUAGGGAAGAACAUAUGUGUAAGUAACUGUGCACAUCUUGACGGUACCUAAUCAGAAAGCCACGGCUAACUACGGG
rnacentral:rRNA from 1 species